UGGCUCAGUGGUAAAGAAUCUGCCUGCAGUGCAGGAGACCCAGGUUCAAUCCCUGG
rnacentral:tRNA from 1 species